UACGUAGGGGGCAAGCGUUGUCCGGAGUUACUGGGCGUAAAGCGCACGCAGGCGGUCGAUUAAGUUUGGAGUGACAGUUGGUGGCUUAACUGCCAAAGUGCUUUGGAAACUGAUCGACUUGAGGGCUUCAGAGGGACACGGAAUUCCGGGUGGAGUGGUGAAAUGCGUAGAGAUCCGGAGGAACACCGAAGGCGAAGGCAGUGUCCUGGGGAGUACCUGACGCUCAGGUGCGAAAGCCAGGGGAGCGAACGGG
rnacentral:rRNA from 1 species